rnacentral:rRNA from 1 species
GACGAACGCUGGCGGCGUGCUUAACACAUGCAAGUCGAACGGAAAGGCCCUGCUUUUGUGGGGUGCUCGAGUGGCGAACGGGUGAGUAACACGUGAGUAACCUGCCCUUGACUUUGGGAUAACUUCAGGAAACUGGGGCUAAUACCGGAUAGGAGCUCCUGCUGCAUGGUGGGGGUUGGAAAGUUUCGGCGGUUGGGGAUGGACUCGCGGCUUAUCAGCUUGUUGGUGGGGUAGUGGCUUACCAAGGCUUUGACGGGUAGCCGGCCUGAGAGGGUGACCGGGCACAGGUGGGCAGAGGAGACGGCCGCGACCCCUCGGGGGGGGCGGGGCGGGGAGUAUGGAAACAGGGGGGGGAGCCUGAUCCAGCAAGGCCGGGGGGGGGAGGGGGGCCUGGGGGUGGAAAACCGUCUCCGCUGGGGACGAAGGGGGGGUGGCGGGAAUGGGAAAAGGAGCACCGGCUAACUGCGU